UACGUAGGGCGCAAGCGUUUGUCCGGAAUUAUUGGGCGUAAAGAGCUCGUAGGCGGUUUGUCGCGUCUGCUGUGAAAACGCGAGGCUUAACCUCGCGCCUGCAGUGGGUACGGGCAGACUAGAGGUGCGGUAGGGGAGACUGGAAUUCCGUGGUGAUAGCGGUGGAAUGCGCAGAUAUCAGGAGGAACACCGGUGGCGAAGGCGGGUCUCUGGGCCGUUACUGACGCUGGGGAGCGAAAGCAUGGGGAGCGAACAGG
rnacentral:rRNA from 1 species